UGGAUCCUGGAAGAGCAGAAACAUGGAGACAGGAACGUUUUGGAGGGUCUGACAUUAAAGGAGAAGAGAAAGUCACUUCUCGAGACAAAGCAAUCCCUCACCUUGGUUUUUCCACUUGAUGCUGAAACACCUUGAGGAAAUGAGGAGCCUGGCUCUGUGUCCUUGAACAGAGUCACUGAGAUUGCUCGGCCUACUCAGCAAUGAAUGACGGCCCUGACGGAGAUAUAAUAAGUGCAGAGACAGGAAUUCUGCUGUGGUGUACUGCCACUCGCCCCUGCUCUACCUGGGAUUGUUCAGGAGUUUCACACAAAUUACAUAACCUCCAGCUGUG